rnacentral:rRNA from 1 species
CUAAGUUUGAUGGCGACCGGCGCACGGGUGAGUAACACGUAUCCAACCUGCCGAUGACUCGGGGAUAGCCUUUCGAAAGAAAGAUUAAUACCCGAUGGCAUAGUUCUUCCGCAUGGUAGAACUAUUAAAGAAUUUCGGUCAUCGAUGGGGAUGCGUUCCAUUAGGUUGUUGGCGGGGUAACGGCCCACCAAGCCUUCGAGUGGAUAGGGGUUCUGAGAGGAAGGUCCCCCACAUUGGAACUGAGACACGGUCCAAACUCCUACGGGAGGCAGCAUG